rnacentral:lncRNA from 1 species
GGCGGGAUCGGUAUUGGUGUUUGCCUUAGCAUUGGUAUUGGUGUUGGGGAUUACACCCUUCGAUGAUAUUGUUGGUUGAUCCAUUGUACUAUAUUUUAGGAUUGAUUAUCAUAUUAUGUUUUGGUAUUCUCUUUGGUUAUGAUCUAGUUUAUGGCCUCUGGUUUGGAUUGUGUGGUUGGAUGGUUGGUUUGGUAAGGUUGGACCCGAUUGGGUCGGUCACGUUUGUGACCCUAUCCCCGAGUAUUCAUGAGAGCAUUUAUGCUAUCUUUUUAUAUACUCAAAAUUCAGCCUAUCAAAGGUUGUAUAUGGAAUCUGAUAAGUGAGAUCUCGAGGUAAAAAGGGGUGCUCCCCAGUCCUGG